UACGUAGGGGGCAAGCGUUAUCCGGAUUUACUGGGUGUAAAGGGAGCGUAGACGGCAGAGCAAGUCUGAAGUGAAAGCCCGCGGCCCAACUGCGGGGCUGCUUUGGAAACUGCCCGGCUAGAGUGCUGGAGAGGUAAGCGGAAUUCCUAGUGUAGUGGUGAAAUGCGUAGAUAUUAGGAGGAACACCAGUGGCGAAGGCGGCUUACUGGACAGUAACUGACGUUGAGGCUCGAAAGCGUGGGGAGCAAACAGG
rnacentral:rRNA from 1 species